rnacentral:lncRNA from 1 species
CUAUCAACAGGACCUUUGGUUCCAUAGGUUUAGAGAUACCAUUUCCCAAAUAGUAGACUAUUUUCCUGGACUUAGUCCCAAGUCCAGGCCAUUUUGAUCUCCUAUGCCACUGAACCAACAAGAAGAGAAAAGGUCACUGUACCGAACAGGGUAUUUGAUGCUGAUGACUAGGAGGAAAUUGGACUGCUCCAACUCAGUAGUGCCAAUGAAAACUAUGUUUAUGAGAUGCUUUCGGGUGCCUUUUAGUGCUGCUAUGCCCAGUAGUGUUUCUUCUUAGAAAACUCUAAGAACACAGUAGACCAGUAAAACCAGUUAGUACUCAGCUUAAGCAGAAAAGAAGGUCUGGCGUAUCCACAGGUAGAGUCUCACUUGGUUGAGGCAGAGGGUAAGAGAAAUGUUGAAUAGUGGUGGAAAACAGUUACAAUUGUCAACUUUGGCCUCAAUGCUAAUGACAGAAAAGGAGUAUAGUAGCUACAGUUUUAUAUCACUUAAUAAGUUACUUUCUACAACAUCCUUCCCCCCCACCCACCACCACUGCCACCACCACCACUAUAUGGAGAACACAAGAGUACUUAAAACCUUAGGUUUUAGGUAGGAGUAAGAACUAAUUAAUGGUACCCUUUUAUGAUAAAGUAGCUGAUCAGACCUCAUGCUUUCAAAUGUAGAGACAAGCUUUAGAAAGAAGACAAGAGGCAAAAAAGUGGACUGUGCUAGGUAUCUUUGAUCCUUCGGAUUCACUUUAUCUCCUGUCUCCAUCCUGCCCUAUUUCUUCAGGAGGCUGAUCCCUAUGGAUUACAUCAAUAAGAUCACCAUUUACACUGGUAUGGAGUUAAAUGCAGUCUUUGGGGAGUCCUGGCAGGAAGUGAGAAAGAGAAACAAAGAGACAGAGACAGAAAUACAGAGACAGACUAAGAGUGAGAGAGUGAGAGAGAAAACAGAAGAGGAAUAUCAAGAUGAAAAUAAGGAUUCCUGCAAAAGAGACAUUGCAACUCAAAUCAGCAUGUGUAAAGAACAACACAGGACAAAAAGGAAUCAGUAGCACGUGAUCAGUAUCAUAAGCAAAGGACAUUCCAUCAGGACAGUACAAGACUACUCAUAGUCAUACCUGCCUAAGAGGAUUUCAGUCUCUCAAUGUGGACAAAACUCUAAGUGAAUAUAUAUUAUAUUCUUUUAUAGACAAUUAUUUU